AUUCAGCUGACCAGUCCCAAAUAGGAUGAAACGCGCUUCCUGGAU
rnacentral:hammerhead_ribozyme from 1 species